UACGUAGGUGGCAAGCGUUGUCCGGAUUUACUGGGCGUAAAGAGCGCGCAGGCGGUCGUUCAAGUCGCGUGUGAAAGCCCCCGGCUCAACUGGGGAGGGUCACGCGAUACUGAUCGACUCGAAGGCAGGAGAGGGUAGUGGAAUUCCGGGUGUAGUGGUGAAAUGCGUAGAUAUCCGGAGGAACACCAGUGGCGAAGGCGACUUCCUGGCCUGUUCUUGACGCUGAGGCGCGAAAGCUGGGGGAGCAAACGGG
rnacentral:rRNA from 1 species